rnacentral:lncRNA from 1 species
CUCCUCAUAUUGCUAUCUCUCCUCUUCUUUUAUCUUUGCCUUGGGAGAACAUGGGCUAUCUUUUCUCUCUUUUUUUUCAGGUGGGUAGUAGAUACCCCUAAUUCUACUGUCGGACACUUGUCCAUUUUUUCCGCUCAAGUGGGCAUCUUUGUACCCCUAAUUCUACUUCGGACACUUGUCCAUUUUUACCUCUCGUCUCACUCUUUUUCUUUCUUUUCCCGAGGUUUCGGGCACUUGCCCCUUUUUAUUUCCUCGUAUAUUUUUGCAUAACCCAUGCCUCUUCUGCAUUGAAUCUUUUUAGAGAGAGAGAAUAACAGUACUUGGGACAGUGAGUGAUAAUAUUUUUUAGCAAUUUUUAAUGAUGAAUGCUGUGGUAGAUGUGUGCAAGUGAAUAUCUUAAUUUAACCACAUGAAAAGCUCCUAAGGGUCUACACAGCUCGAUCAAACUCAAUGUGAAUAUAGUAAAAGAUGUUAUAGCAAGUAUGGCUGUC